ACGCUGAAGCUUGGUGCUUGCACCGAGCGGAUGAGUUGCGAACGGGUGAGUAACGCGUAGGUAACCUGCCUCUUAGCGGGGGAUAACUAUUGGAAACGAUAGCUAAUACCGCAUAAAAGUCGACAUCGCAUGAUGUUGACUUGAAAGGUGCAAUUGCAUCACUAAGAGAUGGACCUGCGUUGUAUUAGCUAGUUGGUGAGGUAACGGCUCACCAAGGCGACGAUACAUAGCCGACCUGAGAGGGUGAUCGGCCACACUGGGACUGAGACACGGCCCAGACUCCUACGGGAGGCAGCAGUAGGGAAUCUUCGGCAAUGGGGGCAACCCUGACCGAGCAACGCCGCGUGAGUGAAGAAGGUUUUCGGAUCGUAAAGCUCUGUUGUAAGAGAAGAACGAGUGUGAGAGUGGAAAGUUCACACUGUGACGGUAACUUACCAGAAAGGGACGGCUAACUACGUGCCAGCAGCCGCGGUAAUACGUAGGUCCCGAGCGUUAUCCGGAUUUAUUGGGCGUAAAGCGAGCGCAGGCGGUUAGAUAAGUCUGAAGUUAAAGGCUGUGGCUUAACCAUAGUACGCUUUGGAAACUGUUUAACUUGAGUGCAGAAGGGGAGAGUGGAACUCCAUGUGUAGCGGUGAAAUGCGUAGAUAUAUGGAGGAACACCGGUGGC
rnacentral:rRNA from 1 species